rnacentral:rRNA from 1 species
UACAGAGGUCUCGAGCGUUGUUCGGAUUCAUUGGGCGUAAAGGGUGCGUAGGUGGCGUGGUAAGUCUGGUGUGAAAUCCCGGGGCUCAACCCCGGAACUGCACUGGAUACUGCCAUGCUUGAGUGCCUGAGAGGAUGGCGGAAUUCCCGGUGUAGUAGUGAAAUACGUAGAUAUCGGGAAGAACACCUGAGGCGAAGGCGGCUAUCUGGCGGUGCACUGACGCUGAGGCGCGAAAGCGUGGGGAGCAAACAGG